rnacentral:rRNA from 1 species
UACGAAGGGGGCUAGCGUUGCUCGGAAUUACUGGGCGUAAAGGGCGCGUAGGCGGCUCGACCAGUCAGGCGUGAAAUUCCUGGGCUUAACCUGGGGACUGCGCUUGAUACUGUUGAGCUUGAGGCCGAGAGAGGGUGGUGGAAUUCCCAGUGUAGAGGUGAAAUUCGUAGAUAUUGGGAAGAACACCGGUGGCGAAGGCGACCACCUGGCUCGGUACUGACGCUGAGGCGCGACAGCGUGGGGAGCAAAC